AUCCAACUGAUGAGUUCCAAAUAGAACGAAAUGCACAUCCUGGAU
rnacentral:hammerhead_ribozyme from 1 species